GGAGGGGGCAAGCGUUAUUCGGAAUUACUGGGCGUAAAGCGCGUGUAGGCGGCUACGCAAGUCAGGUGUGAAAUCCCUUGGCUCAACCGAGGAACUGCGCUUGAAACUGCGUGGCUUGAGUACGGGAGAGGAGAGUGGAAUUCCCAGUGGAGCGGUGAAAUGCGUAGAUAUUGGGAGGAACACCGGUGGCGAAGGCGGCUCUCUGGACCGUUACUGACGCUGAGACGCGAAAGCUAGGGGAGCGAACGGGGGAUUAGAUACCCCGGUAGUCCUAGCUGUAAACGAUGGGUACUUGGUGUAGCGGGUAUCGACCCCUGCUGUGCCGGAGCUAACGCAUUAAGUACCCCGCCUGGGGGAGUACGGUCGCAAGGCUG
rnacentral:rRNA from 1 species